UACUACGCCAAACGCAAGGCGACAGAGAGAAAUGGAAGUACGCAGUUUUUCUUUCUUUCUUUUCUUAUUUUACCGGUACAGGGGCAGAAACUGAAGCACAAACGUCCUUUCACACGGAAGCCGGAAAACAAGGUUUCAUUAGACAGCUGGGCGACAUACGGCCUCACAGGAUGGAGAGACGUCACCAGCUGAUGGAGGAGCAUCAGCAGGAGUGGACACUUGACAGAUCAGAUGAAGAGCGGCUCACCUGUAGUCCACCCAGCAGAGCCAGGAAGUGCCCUCUCUGAGGAAAGCUGCUGCUGUGUUCAUCAUCUGACUGGCAGCCUGCAGGCAUUUCACACCAUCUGUCAGAAUGCCAGGGGGCUCUCCCAUCAUCCUGAGUAGCUCUAAUUCUUUCAUCCUGAUCAAGAGUUUGCAGAUCUCGUCCUCCUCGCUCCACGGAGCUGGACCGGGAUCUUCU